rnacentral:rRNA from 1 species
AUGGACGCCGUGGAGUCCUCGUCACUGUACUCGCCGCCCUCGCUGCGCCACAAGCUGCGCACCACCGUGUGUGGCUGCUUCGGCUCGCCGUCGCCGCACACCGGCGGCGGCAGGAGCAGGUGGAGGAGGCGCGUGGCGGGCGCGGGGGAGUUCAGGUAUGACCCGCUCAGCUACGCGCUCAACUUUGACGACGGCAGCAGCGACGACGGCGACGCCGACGCGGAGGACGCCGCCUUCCGGCACCGGAACUUCAGCUCGCGCCUGCCGCCCUCGCCGGUGCCGGCCUCCCGAGCCGUCGCACUAGUAGCCUCUGUCCCUCUGAGCGAGACUGAAUCACUACAUCUGUAA